UGGUUCAAUGGAGGGAUAAGGAGAUGGGAAGUGGUGCAGGCACCUUCUACAGGACAAAUCUCACUUACAUUCUCUUCUUACAGUCAGCUUCUUUAGCAUUGAUAUGAACUUUUUCCUCUUCUACAAAACCGAGAGAGCUCCCGAUUACUAUGAUGCAAGGAACCUCCUUGAAAACUGGUUUCAUAUCAUAUUUACUGGAGAAGAAUUUGUUGUGACAAACUUUAAAGUCAGGGGUAAUUAUCCACAAAGCAAUGUCUAUAACAGGACUCAU